ANAAAGCCGGUCAUUGAAACUCAUCUCUCUAUAACAAUAAAUUUCUAAUGACUUGGGACAAGGAUAACAAACCUUCCUCUUAACAAAGAAAAAACUUGAAAAACUGGGUUUCGAUCAAUUGAAUUGUUUGCUAAUAAUUACUGUGAUUUGACAUAAAUUAAGAAUCCUUUAUCAAACACCAACUGAUAAAAUUAAAUUAAGCAUCUUCUUACAUUCGACACCACUAUACCAUGUACAUCUUCUCAUACAUAAUUCAAAUUUCGGUGCCGAAAAAAGAAAUGGAUAGAACUCAGUAACACUGUUCAGCUAAGAUUUCCACACAGAUAUCAUUUGCCCUUUACAACAAUUAAAUUUUUUUCCCACCGAAUCAAAAUCAAAAUCAAGCGGCAUGACCAACAACUCCAGAACCAUAUAAAAUUAGCAGGAAGAUUGAAUCACUAAAGUAACACAGAAAAAGAAUUCAAAAACAUAUAUUACCUCUAAAUAAAAUUCAAGAUUUCAUUGGAUGAACUCCCAAGAUUCCAGGAGAGUGUGGCCACCGCUUUAAGUAAAUACGUUAAUAAUAAAUUAAUAAAUAACUAGGUGUUCUAAUUUUUUAUUCGACAAGACUCCAGAAAGAGAGAUGAUAAAACACAUUUAGGUUGCUUACAACGUGUGCUUUCUCUAAAAUCCAAGAAAAUAUCAUAAUUGUAAUUCACACUAGUCUCAAAGUACAUAAAUUGUCAUUUUCUUUCUUUUUCUGUUUCUUGGAUUAUUUAACGUGGAAGAGGUGGAGUGCACGAAACGAUUUGAAGAAGCGAACAUUUUGUGGACGCAGACCGCGUGUUGAAACUGGAAACUCAUACGUGCCUACAUCUGAUGACUUUAAGGAUGUUCUUCCAAAUCAAGAAUUGACAAUUUCAUCUGAUAGGGUUUUAUUAAUUUUUAUAAACUUAUUUU
rnacentral:lncRNA from 1 species